rnacentral:rRNA from 1 species
AUUGAACGCUAGCGGGAUGCCUUACACAUGCAAGUCGAACGGAGUGGCGAACGGGUGAGUAAUGUACCGGAACGUGCCCAGUAGCGGGGGAUAACUACGCGAAAGCGUAGCUAAUACCGCAUACUAUUUGAGCGGCCGAUAUCGCAUUAGCUAGUUGGUGGGGUAACGGCUAACCAAGGCGACGAUCCGUAGCUGGGCUGAGAGGACGACCGGCCACACUGGAACUGAGACACGGCCCAGACUCCUACGGGAGGCAGCAGUGGGGAAUUUUGGACAAUGGGCGAAAGCCUGAUGCAGCAAUCCCGCGUGUGCGAUGAAGGUCUUCGGGUUGUAAAGCACUUUUGGCAGGAAAGCGGUAUCUGCAGAAUAAGCACCGGCUAACUACGUGCCAGCAGCCGCGGUAAUAC